AUUCCAGCUCCAAUAGCGUAUAUUUAAGUUGUUGCAGUUAAAAAGCUCGUAGUUGGAUUUUGGUUAAGAGGGCGCGGUCGGCCGUUUGGUCUGUACUGCGUUGUCUUGACUUCCUGAUGAGGACAUGCUCUUGGUUAACGCUGAGACAUGGAGUCAUCGUGGUUACUUUGAAAAAAUUAGAGUGUUCAAAGCGGGCUUACGCUUGAAUAUAUUAGCAUGGAAUAACACUAUAGGACUCCUGUCCUAUCUCGUUGGUCUCGGGAUGGGAGUAAUGAUUAACAGGGACAGUCAGGGGCACUCGUAUUCCGCCGAGAGAGGUGAAAUUCUCAGACCAGCGGAAGACGAACCACUGCGAAAGCAUUUGCCAAGGAUGUUUUCAUUA
rnacentral:rRNA from 1 species